UUUUAAAACAGCGAAACGUAACGGGACAAAGCGAACAAUAUCGGCUAGCGGUGGGCUUAGGCUAUUACACUAAUAUUUUGAAUCAUGAACGUGGAUUACUACGGUAGUUUUUCCUUCCUGAACAGCUUCCCAUGCUUUUGUGUUUAAUAACCUUGUCAGCCAUCAUCUUUUCCAUUUUUAUGUAGAAUGGAGACAUUGAAGAGGAUCCUUCCUGUUUCUGGUCCCGAGGGAUUGAGUGAGAUGAGGAAAAUUGCUGUAAGGUUCGAGGAAAAGAUUUAUACUGCCGCUACUAGUGAGUCAGAGUACCGAAGGAAAAUAUAUGUGAAGAUGCUUCUUAUGGAACCCAACUCUGAGACGACCACUGCAUUACCAUCAAUGUCUGGGCCUAUGGCUUCCGAUCAACCUUAGAAACAGGCUGCAAUUACUCUUCCACAACAUCCAAAAUAACACUGCUUCCUCUAAUGUAUUUACCAACUCUUAGAGGCCAAUAUACUUCAUUGGCUAAUAAGGUGAAUGAGUCUACAGUUUGAACGUGUUAGUGUUGGAAUGAGAUAUUGUAUGAUAAUUGAAACUGUUCUGAAUCUUGAAUGUUCAUGAGAUUGUUUUGAAUGAAAUAUUGUAUGACAAUUGAAACUGUUCUUAA